rnacentral:rRNA from 1 species
AUUGAACGCUGGCGGCAUGCCUUACACAUGCAAGUCGAACGGUAACAGGUCUUCGGAUGCUGACGAGUGGCGAACGGGUGAGUAAUACAUCGGAACGUGCCCGAUCGUGGGGGAUAACGGAGCGAAAGCUUUGCUAAUACCGCAUACGAUCUACGGAUGAAAGCAGGGGACCGCAAGGCCUUGCGCGGACGGAGCGGCCGAUGGCAGAUUAGGUAGUUGGUGGGAUAAAAGCUUACCAAGCCGACGAUCUGUAGCUGGUCUGAGAGGACGACCAGCCACACUGGGACUGAGACACGGCCCAGACUCCUACGGGAGGCAGCAGUGGGGAAUUUUGGACAAUGGGCGCAAGCCUGAUCCAGCCAUGCCGCGUGCAGGAUGAAGGCCUUCGGGUUGUAAACUGCUUUUGUACGGAACGAAAAGACUCUUUCUAAUAAAGAGGGUCCAUGACGGUACCGUAAGAAUAAGCACCGGCUAACUACGUGCCAGCAGCCGCGGU